AGAGUUGUGGUUCAGUGAUAGAGCUUCUGCUUCACAAGUAUAAGAUCCUAGGCCCAAAUCCUGACAUCUCUG
rnacentral:tRNA from 1 species